rnacentral:sRNA from 1 species
GUGGUGAAAUCCACAGGUGGAACGUACCGCCCUCUGUCGACGGCCGGCGCAACUAAACAAAGUCGUGUGCACUCCCAGUUCACGUGCAAAAUUCGAACUGGAAGCCGGCAGAGCUGUUACAAAAAAAAAGGAUGGUAGUGGAACCAGAGACUUUUGUGCGUGGUUCGAUGCACGGAGGCUUAAAUAAAAAAUGUUCGGUCUAGGAACCAGCGGUCCACUAGUGCCUAGCACUAACUCCAGCAGCCAAAAAACGAGCGACCGUUGAGGGGUGAUGAAGUCUUGGAGAUGUGCUGAAACUGUGCGCUGUGGACUUGAGAACCUUCCAAGAGUAGCGGGGGGUAUCCGGCGGUGCCCGGGAGCACGCAGUGGUCUCGGAGCCGUGCAGACUCAGCCAAAGGUGCGACCACCAGGAAUUCGGCAUGCGAACCAGGCGUGACCGAAGUGAAGCUGACUUUGACUUCAGUUUCUCACGGUCAGCGCCACGCCAGCACCAAGCGGUGGCAGGCGGAACUUGUUCGUGGGAAAAUCCCAACAGGGUUGCCAAACAGGGGCAGAAACUCGCGCUGUGGUGCAGCAGAAAAAUUAACUUAAAAACGAAGCGUGAACUAUGCAAGAAAUCCCCGAGGGCGCUCUUCACCAAAUUUAAGGGCGAUUCAGAAAUGUAAAGAAAAUAAAAAAUGAAAAAAAAAGGGAAAAAAAAAGACAAGAAAAAAGUUCUCCCCUGCUGCUAGUCUAAUGGCGCUUUCACACUGGAAGCGGAUCCGCGUUCGCGAAGCGGAUCCGUGCGUUCUCAACCGCAAAGCGGCUGAGAUCGAGCGGUUGGGGCGCGUUUUUGCCAACCGCUUCGGGACCGAUUUUUCCCAACCGCUUUCCCGAACCGCAAAGCGGCAACCAAUCACAACGCGACACUGAGGCUGACGUCACGUCAGCAUCUCGGGAUCUCGUUCCAACAUGGCUCCCGUCGCGAGUACCGUCGCCAAAUCGGCUAAGCCUAACGCAAAAAAAAAGUCGACGAAUGUGAGGACUGAUGUUCUUCUGGAUGUAAUCAAACAAUACCCCGUCUUGUACGACAAGAGCAUCCACGAUUUAAGGAUAUCAAGUAUAAAGAUGAAGUGUGGACGAUGCUCGGCGAGAGCCUGGGAGGGAUACCUGGUGUGGACCUCGUCAACAAGUUUAAAAACGCUAAAGACACAUACCAAAAACACAAGAACAAGAUAACAUGCUCUAUGAAAAGUGGAGCGGGAGCAGCCCAGGUGGGCAAAAUAACAUGGCCUCACUUUAUGCAGAUGAUGGAGUUCAUGGAACCAGUCUCCCCCAAUCCAAUACUUCACACAAACCUGCAGUUUGAUGAAGAGGAAAGCAGUGGUGCCACCAGCAGUAGUGCCACCAGCAGUAGUGCCAGCACCAGCGGUGCCACUUGCAGCGGCGGACAUCUGGGGUGUGGAAGGAAUACUCGGCACGAUGACAGCGAGAUGGAGUCGCCUGCUGACAGCAUUCUGCCAAACCUUGCGGAGCAAGACGGCCCAGUGCAACAAGAGGAGCCAGGAGACCAGCAGCAACUGAUCAACAAAGCAAGGCCACAUUCAAGCGGAUCCAACAUGCAGGACCCUGUUGGCACCUGCGUAAAUCUCUUGGAGGAGAUACGGGAGAGGCGUGCGAGGAAGGCAGGUGGCCCCGAAGAUCCAGUUCAUCACUUCUGUGCGUCCCUUGCCGGGAGAAUAAGAACCCUUCACGAGACAAAACAAAUUGAGAUAAUGCAUGAUAUUGAGGAUCUGAUUUACAAAGCUCAGUGGGAGCACUUCUACGGUCCAGACUACUGAGUGCCAAACUAAUAAAGUGUGAAAGAGAGA